GAAUUUCUUGUAGUGCCUGUGCUGUUCCUAAUCGCAGUUGCCUCAAACCCUGGCUGAUCUUGCGAUCUGGAUGCUUCUGCCUUUAAGAACAAAGGUAGAUCUACAGCAUGACUAAUCACUUCAGAAGUUCACGUACCUCCAGAGCCCAUGUGGAGUUCUCGACGCAUUGUUGCUAGGUUUGCUAGAACAGUUGGUGCAGAAGAAUGAACUUCCUUAGGCAAAUCAGACUUCUACUCUGGAAGAACUGGAUUCUUCGGAAAAGACAAAAGCUUCGUCUUCUGGUGGAGCUUGUGUGGCCUCUGUCAUUAUUUCUUGCCCUUGUGUGGCUGAGGAAGGCUAAUCCAUUAUAUCGCCAACAUGAAUGUCACUUCCCAAACAAGGCAAUGCCAUCUGCAGGAACACUGCCGUGGUUACAUGGCAUCUUCUGUAACAUGAACAACCCUUGUUUCCGCAGCCCAACCCCUGGAGAGAGUCCAGGUGUUGUGUCCAACUACAACAACUCCAUCCUUGCAAGAGUAUAUAAAGAUGCUCAAGAGCUCUUACUGGAAGCCCCUGAAAUCCGUGACCUUGGCAGAGUCUGGGAAGAACUGAUCAUUAUGACUCAGUUUAUGGAAACAAUGAGAACUAAUCCUGAAAGAAUUGCAGGAAGAGGAAUACGAAUUCUAGACAUUUUGAAAGAUGGGGAGACUCUCACUUCCUUCUUGCUGGAAGAUGCUCGUCUCCCAGAUGUUGUUGUUUUCCAGCUUAUUAAUGCUCAAGUACGCCCUGAACAGUUUGCCUAUGGUGUACCCAACUUGACUCUGAAGGACAUUGCUUGCAGUCAGAUGCUACUGGACCGCUUUAUUAUCUUCAGCAGCAGAAGAGGUCUCCCUUCGGUCCACAAGGCCAUGUGUGCCCUCUCCCAGGAAAGCCUACAGAGAGUGGAAGAUGCCUUGUAUGCAAAUGUUGAUUUCUUUAAGCUAUUUCAGCUGCUUCCUACUGUGUUGGACAGAAACUCACCAGGUGUUGAUCUGAGGUCUUGGGGGAGGGUGCUGUCUAAUGUCUCCCAAGCAGCACAAAAGCUAGCCAAGAAGUCAAGUGUUCAGGACCUUUUCAAGGCUUUACAACCAUUUGUACAAAAUGGAAGAACUGAAUCCUUAGGCCACUGGGUGAGCUCCAUGUCUGAUCUUUUCUGUGGCUACCCAGAAGGAGGUGGAUCCAGAGUGCUUUCCUUCAACUGGUAUGAAGAUAACAACUACAAAGCUUUCCUGGGGAUUGACUCUACAAAGAAAUCCAGUUAUCUCUAUGAUAAUACAACCACACCCUUUUGUAAUGCAUUGAUCCAAAACUUGGAAUCAAACCCUUUAACCAAAAUAGCCUGGAGUGCUGUGAAGCCCCUGCUGAUGGGAAAAAUUCUCUUUGCUCCUGAUUCACCGUCUGUACGGCAAAUCCUAAAAAAUGCAAACUCCACUUUUGAGGAACUUGAACGCCUCAGACUGUUGACCAAAGCUUGGGAAGAAGUAGGACCACAGUUGUGGUACUUCUUUCAAAACAGCCUGCAAAUGAAUAUGAUCCGUGACUCUCUGAAGCACCCUACAGUGAGGGACUUCUUGAACAGACAGAUGGGUGCUGAAGGCUUAACUGCUGAACACAUUAUCAACUUUCUCCACAAUGGGUCUCCGGGGACCAGGGAGAAGGGAAUGGUGGACUUUGACUGGCGGAACAUCUUCAGUGUUGUAGACCAAGCUCUGCGUUUGCUCAGUCAGUAUCUGGAGUGUUUGAUGUUGGAUAAAUUUGAAGGUUAUCAUGAUGAAACCCAGCUGACUCAUCAAGCCCUUCACCUGCUAGAGGAAAACAAAUUCUGGGCUGGUGUGGUUUUUCCAGAUAUAGAGCCUAUAGCAAGCAGUCUUCCACCACAUGUGAAAUACAAGAUCCGGAUGGACAUAGAUGCAGUGGAGAAAACAAACAAAAUCAAAGACAGGUACUGGGAUCCUGGUCCAAGAGCCGAUCCCGUGGAUGAUUUACGUUACAUAUGGGGAGGCUUUGCAUAUCUCCAAGACAUGAUUGAGCAUGGGAUUAUAAAGACCCAGACCAACACUGAAGUGCCAAUAGGAAUUUAUCUGCAGCAAAUGCCAUAUCCAUGUUUUGUGGAUGAUGUCUUUAUGAUCACCCUAAACCGCUCCUUUCCCAUCUUCAUGGUGCUAGCUUGGAUAUAUUCCGUUUCCAUGACUGUGAAAAGUAUAGUGCUGGAGAAGGAAAUGCGUCUGAAGGAGGCAAUGAAGAACAGGGGCAUCACCAAUGGGGUAAUUUGGUGCACUUGGUUCCUAGACAGCUUCGUCAUGAUGGCUGUGAGCACAUUCCUCCUCACAGCACUAAUUAUGUGCGGCCAAGUCCUACAUUACAGCAGUCCACUUCUCUUCUUCCUAUUCCUACUGACCUUCACUACAGCCACCAUAAUGCAGUGCUUCUUGUUCAGCACCUUCUUCUCUAAAGCAAAUCUGGCAGCUGCCUGCAGUGGAGUCCUGUACUUCACCUUGUACCUGCCUCACAUUGUCUGCUUUGUCUGGCAAGACCGCAUGACUGUUAAUCUGAAGAUCUUAGCAAGUUUACUUUCUCAAGUAGCUUUUGGUUUUGGUACAGAAUACUUGUCGCGCUAUGAAGAACAAGGUCUUGGCCUACAGUGGGGUAACAUCAGAACCAGUCCCUUGGAAGGAGAUGAAUAUAGUUUUCUGUUUUCCAUUAAAAUGAUGCUUUUUGAUGCUUUUCUAUAUGGAAUACUUUCUUGGUACCUUGAUAAUGUUUUUCCAGGGGACUAUGGGCUACCACAGCCUUGGUAUUUCCCUUUGCAGGAAUCUUACUGGUUUGGCUCUAGAAACCCAAAAGCUGAAAAACCAGCAACUAUUGAUGAAAACAGUCCACAGUCAGAAUGCUGUGUGGAUCAGAAGGCCAUGGAAGGGGAAAAAAAUGAAAGCAGAACAAAGAAAUCUGAAGAACCUGAAAAGCCAGAAGAAAAGAGUGACAACCAGGGGGAGAAGGAUGGUAAAAACAAACAAUGUAAACACAAACGAGAAAAAGAACCCGGCGAGCAGGGGAUGCCUAAGACAGAUGUCCAGGACAAAGAUGAAAUGAAUAUAAAUACCUUCUGUGAACCUGAGCCAACAGGAUUGAUUCCAGGAGUAUGUGUUCAGAACCUGGUGAAGAUUUUUGCGAACAGGCCCAAGCCAGCAGUAGAUGGGAUGAAUAUUACUUUUUAUGAGGGCCAGAUCACAGCAUUUCUUGGUCACAAUGGAGCAGGAAAGACAACCACCAUGUCAAUACUGACAGGCCUCUUCCCACCCACCUCUGGAACUGUGCUAAUUGGUGGCCUGGAUAUUCAAACUCACAUGGACUCCAUUCGGCAACAAUUAGGCAUGUGCCCUCAGUACAACAUCCUAUUCAAUCACCUUACUGUAGCAGAACACAUAUUGUUUUAUUCCCAACUGAAAGGGAGAUCCAGGGAUGAAGCUGAACAAGAGCUGGAAAUGAUGCUAGAAGACAUGGGCCUCACCCAUAAAAGGAAUGAAGAGGCUCAGAAAUUGUCAGGUGGAAUGCAAAGAAAACUCUCUGUUGCCAUUGCUUUUGUUGGUGAAGCAAAAGUGGUAGUUUUGGAUGAGCCCACUUCUGGAGUUGAUCCGUAUUCCAGGCGAUCUAUCUGGGAUCUUCUGCUGAAGUAUCGCUCAGGCAGAACCAUCAUCCUCUCCACCCAUCACAUGGAUGAGGCAGACAUUCUUGGAGACAGGAUAGCUAUCAUAUCUCAAGGAAAACUCUUCUGCUCAGGCUCCCCGGUAUUCCUUAAGAACUGCUUUGGAUCUGGCUUCUAUCUCACUCUUGUUCGCAAGAUGAAAAACACCAGAAUUGCAAGGAAUGCAUCAUUUUGUAGCUGUGGAUCUCAGUGCUCCUGCUCCUGUUCCAGCUGUGCACACAGGGACAAAGAAGGAACUCAAGUGCAGGAACUGGAUGGAGAUCUGAAUGAGCUAGCAGAAGUAAUUCAUCAUCAUGUCCCAGAAGCAAAAUUAAUUGAAAGCAUUGGUCAAGAAAUUGUUUACCUGUUGCCCAGUAAGCACUUUAAACAGCGAUCUUAUGCCAGUCUCUUCAGAGAACUGGAGGAAACAUUGGAUGACCUGGGACUUAGCAGUUUUGGAGUUUCAGACACUCCACUUGAAGAGGUUUUCCUAAAGGUCACAGCAGAAGCUAGCCCUGAAAUGCAAAAAGCAGGAGACAAUCAAGAAAAUGGUUCUACUUGUGGCAAAAUUUCUACUGAGAAUAAAACAGCUGAAAAAAACCCUCUGGAAACCAAUGACACUUCUCAAAUGCCAGUAGGCAUAGCAGGAGAUCAAAAUGAAGGCAAAGGGUCCCGGCAGUAUAAAGGUUUUCAGCUUGUACAUCAGCAGAUCAAAGCACUGUUCAUCAAACGGUUCCACCAUGCCUCCCGCAGCCACAAGGACUUCCUAGCCCAGAUUGUUCUCCCUGCUAGUUUUGUGUUGCUGUCUUUAAUGCUUACAGUCAUUAUUCCUCCAUUUGGAGAAUAUCCUGCCUUAACCUUACACCCUUGGAUCUAUGGACAACAGUUUACUUUCUUCAGCAAUGAGCGUCCAGGCAGCGAGCAGAUGGUCUCCCUUACUGAUGCUUUCUUGAAUAAACCCGGAUUUGGAAAUCGCUGUUUGAAGAAUCAGCCCCUUCCGAACUACUCAUGCAAUAAUAUGGCAACGGCCUGGAAUACCCCUGUUGUGCAUCCUAAUCUAAGUAGCCUACUGCUGAGCCAAAAGUGGAGCUCUGAGAAUCCUUCACCUUCCUGCAAGUGCAGCACUCGCAAGAAACUCACCAUGCUGCCAGAAUGCCCCCCAGGAGCAGGAGGCCUCCCACCACCACAGAGAGUGCAGCACAGCACAGAAAUUCUUCAAGAUCUGACCCACAGAAAUAUCUCAGAUUUUCUGGUGAAAACAUAUCCCGUUUUGAUAAAAGGAAGCUUGAAGAGCAAAUACUGGGUCAAUGAGCAAAGAUAUGGAGGAAUUUCUAUAGGAGGAAAGCUCCCUGUCCUUCAUGUUUCUGGAGAUGAAGUUGUCGAUUUUUUCAGUGAUUUGUGCCGAAUGAUGAAUGUGACAGGAGGACAAACUUCACUGGCUGCUGCUAAAGAAUUUUCUAAUUUCCUUAAAUACAUGGAAACUGAAGAUAAUAUUAAGGUGUGGUUUAACAAUAAAGGCUGGCAUGCUAUGGUUAGUUUCCUAAAUGUAGCCAAUAAUGCAAUCCUUAGAGCUAACCUGCGGACUGGGCAAGCUCCCGAGGAGUAUGGGAUCACUGUUGUAAACCAUCCUCUGAACCUCACUAAGGAGCAACUCUCUGAAGUCACUGUGCUGACCACUUCAGUGGAUGCUCUUGUUGCCAUCUGUGUGAUUUUUGCCAUGUCCUUUAUCCCAGCCAGUUUUGUUUUAUACCUGAUUCAAGAACGUGUGACGAAAGCCAAACACCUCCAGUUUGUCAGUGGUGUGAGCCCUGCUAUCUACUGGCUAACUAACUUCAUGUGGGACAUAGUGAAUUAUGCAGUGAGUGCUGGACUGGUUGUGGUUAUAUUUGCUGGAUUCAAGAAGAAAGCAUACACUUCUCCAACUAACCUCCCUGUGCUUGUUGCUUUGCUGCUUCUGUAUGGAUGGGCAGUAAUUCCCAUGAUGUACCCUGCUUCUUCUUUCUUCAGUGUGCCUAGCACUGCUUAUGUUGCAUUGUCUUGUAUUAAUCUCUUUGUGGGGAUCAACAGCAGUGCCAUUACAUUCAUCCUGGAGCUAUUUGAAAAUAACCCAACUUUGCUAAAAUUUAAUAAAACAUUGAAAAAUGUGCUGAUUGUCUUCCCACACUUUUGCCUGGGCCGUGGACUCAUUGACUUGGCCGUAAACCAAGCUGUGAGUGAAGUUUAUGCCAGGUUUGGUGAGGAGCAUGUUUCCAAUCCUUUUCAGUGGGACUUUGUUGGAAAGAACCUGGUUGCCAUGGCUGUUCAAGGAGUUGCAUUCUUCAUUCUGAAUCUCCUUAUGCAGCACCGUUUAUUCUCCUCAAGAUGGUUUGCUGAGACUACCAAAUCACCUGUUACUGAUGAAGAUGAGGAUGUUGCAGAAGAAAGAAAAAGAAUUAUGAAUGGAAGGAAAAAAACAGAUAUCUUAGAAUUACAAGAACUGACCAAGAUUUAUGCAGGUAGGCACAAGCCAGCAGUGGACAGGCUCUGUGUUGGCAUCCGUCCUGGAGAGUGCUUUGGUCUUUUGGGAGUCAAUGGUGCUGGAAAAACAACAACAUUCAAAAUGCUGACUGGAGAUACUGACGUGACAUCUGGAGAUGCUGUAGUGGCUGGCAAUAGUAUAUUGACUGACAUUUCUAGUGUCCAUCAAAACAUGGGAUACUGUCCUCAGUUUGAUGCCCUUGAUGACCUGCUCACAGGACGAGAACAUUUGUAUUUAUAUGCACGCCUGCGAGGGGUUCCAGCAGAGGAAAUCAAGAGGGUUGCUGAAUGGGGCAUCCAGAAGCUGGGACUUCCCAUGUACGCAGACCAGCUGGCUGGUACCUACAGUGGUGGCAAUAAGCGCAAGCUCUCCACUGCCAUUGCACUCAUAGGCUGCCCACCACUCAUCUUACUAGAUGAACCAACUACUGGAAUGGACCCUCAGUCCCGGCGCCUCCUGUGGGACUCUAUUGUCAGCGUGCUCAGAGAUGGACGAGCUGUGGUUCUAACUUCACACAGUAUGGAAGAAUGCGAAGCUCUCUGUACUCGUCUAGCCAUCAUGGUAAAUGGUACCUUCAAGUGCCUGGGCACAAUUCAGCAGCUAAAAUACAAGUUUGGAGACGGCUACAUUGUCACUCUGAAAAUCAAAGCUCCAAAGGCAGGGCUGCCUCCAGAUCCUAGUCGUGCUGAGCAAUUCAUACGCAUAAACUUCCCAGGGAGUUUACAGAGAGAGAAACACUACAACAUGCUGCAGUAUCAGAUUUGCUCAUCCUCUCUAGCUAAGAUUUUUCGAUUAAUAAUCUCCAAUAAGGAAAACUUGCAUAUUGAAGAAUAUUCUGUCUCUCAAACAACUUUAGAUCAGGUGAGUAACUAUUAUGCAAUGCAGUAAGGAUGUUUCCAAACAGCAGGAGGACCAAACUUCUUAGAGCAGAGAAUUCUCUCACAUCUCCUUCUCAGGCAAAAUUCCCAGACUCCUCAUCAAGGAAGGUGGAUCAGGUUUUUGUGAACUUUGCUAAGCAGCAGAUGGAGGAUGAGGAAAUUCCUUUGCAUCCCCGUGCAGCUGGAGCCAGUCGAGAAGCAAAGGUGUCCCCUGCUUUGCAUCAGCAAGCAGCUGCAUAGACUAUUCG